UACGUAGGGCGCAAGCGUUAUCCGGAAUUAUUGGGCAUAAAGAGCUCGUAGGCGGUUUGUCGCGUCUGCUGUGAAAAUCCGGGGCUCAACCCCGGACUUGCAGUGGGUACGGGCAGACUAGAGUGUGGUAGGGGAGACUGGAAUUCCUGGUGUAGCGGUGAAAUGCGCAGAUAUCAGGAGGAACACCGAUGGCGAAGGCAGGUCUCUGGGCCACUACUGACGCUGAGAAGCGAAAGCAUGGGGAGCGAACAGG
rnacentral:rRNA from 1 species